rnacentral:lncRNA from 1 species
UUAAAUCGAAGCUAUAUAUUUCAAAUAAACUUCGAGAAACAUGUCUUGUACAACCAAUACUUAGAAAUUGAUUGCUUAAAGAUCUCUACUAUCAAUAAAUUCCACAAAACCAAAUGCAUUCAAACAUAUAUGACAAUAGUACAAAAACUCUUCGUCGUUCACUACAAUAGAUCGAGUUUACUUCUGGCCACAAUUCAAAUUCAAUUACCGGCAUUUUCCUGCACAUUUAAAAUAAAAUUAUAAGUUAGUGAAAUAAAUCAUGUAUUUAAUAUGCUUAAAUUCACAGUAAGCCAAACCAAUUCAUAACAAUAAAGUUGUGGAAGUGCAUAUAAGGUUGACAGAUAACUAUAGACAACACUGCUUGGAAUUCUAUUGAUGAAGUAAAAAGAUGCUAAAACACACUGAUACUAGAACUUUACAUCAUAUACUGAUUUAUAGCAACUGUUUAGCAUAGUCAUUAGUACUCUUGGAUCCAUUCUGAUGACUCCUAGUAGAUAGUGGUACAUUAGUGUUCAAGCCAUAUGUGAAGGUUCCUUUAGCUUGUAUUUCAGUACCUACAUACGUUUGCACAUCUAUCAUAUCAUAGGCAGCCCAGAUGCCUCACUAUAAGUUUUUUUCUUAGACUUGAAGUCAGGUGGAUAGCUUAUUAGUUUGAAACAUUGUCCUUCCUAUGUCCUGUGAAUCUGCAGAACUCACACACCAACUCUUUCCAGAAUUUCCAACUCUUUCGAAGUUAUAGAAAAGCUCAACUCUUUUCAAAAUUUCCAGCACUGUAUUAUAGCGCAAUAGUUGAAUUUCCAGAAUUUCCAGCACUGUAUAAUAUUGCAGCAGCAAAGUUUCCAGAAUUUCCAGAACUGUAUAAUAUUGCAGCAGCUUAGUUUCCAAAAUUUCAGGAUUUUCCAGAAUAUCCAGCACUGUAUAAUAUUGCAGCAGUUGAGUUUUCAGAAUUUCCAGCACUAUAUAAUAGCAGAUUGCAACAGCUGAGUUUCUAGAAUUUUCAGAAUUUCUAGAAUUUCCAGAACUUCCAGUACUGUAUAUACUGUAAACUGAUUCUAUAACCUGCACAUACACAAUAUCCUAGCAGGGAAGCUAAAAACACAACUAAACUGAUUCUAUAACCUGUACAACCAUUCAGAUGAGCAGUGGCAGCCUGUGCAAACAGUAUAAGUUGUUGUCAUGGAUUCUCUAAUUCUUGGUGAUCAGUUGUACUCUGGAGGGUAAGUCCAAAACUAACUUUUUAAAAGUAACUUAUAUAGUCUGUAAAGUUCAGUUCCUUUAAUGCGACAAAAUAGUUUAUGAGUAUACUAUCUCACUUGUUUACAAUAUGUAGUCCAUACAAACUGUACUAAAAUAAAUUCAAACAAAAUCAGGACCUAAACAAACUAUUUUUGAUCAAAUUGAACAUUAGAACUUGAAGCCUCAUAGCAUCAAAUAGCAUUUGAGAACAAUCAUACGGAGAUAUACAAUGAGUAUGUUAAAAGAUGCUCAAAAGAGAACUGAGCCACACUUGGAGAAAAAGGUAAACAACCAGAUUUUACAGCCCCAUUUCGAGAACCCAGAACCCAGAACAGGCACACUAAAAAUCAUGACUGAGUGAACUACAGAGCAUCUUGAACAAACUAAAAGGAGACUCAAUUAACUUUAAGAAAACAGAUUAAAUCAUAUCAACUAAGAAGUUGAUACAAACUAGCAGCUCACUAUUUCAGUCACAACAACGCAUAACACUCUUGGUAUGAAACAAACAAGGAAAAAUUAAAGGUAAAGAGUUGCACCUCCCUCGGAGUGAUGAACUAGGGACAACGACGAAACCAGGAGCGACUUCAAACUGCAGAGCUCACUGUUCUGCCUACAACGCAUAACACUCUUGGUCUGAAACAAACAAGGAAAAAUUAAAGGUAAAGAGUUGCACCUCUCUCGGAGUGAUGAACUAGGGACAACGACGAAACCAGGAGCGACUUCAAACUGCAGAGCUCAUUGUUCUGCCUCUAAUGCCUAUUGCCUGAUAAUA